CCCCUCUCAGGCUUGCACCUGGAGAGUUUCCAGUCCUCUACCAGUCUCGGCUACGGGAGGGAGAGUCAAGCAGAGGCCUACCCAUUCCAUUGCUAGGUUGGGCAGUAGGCUAGCUAGUGGAAGGCAAUCUGCUACAAAU